rnacentral:rRNA from 2 species
UGGGGAAUAUUGGGCAAUGGACGAAAGUCUGACCCAGCGACGCCGCGUGAGGGAUGAAGGCCUUCGGGUUGUAAACCUCUUUCAGCAGGGAAGAAGCGAAAGUGACGGUACCUGCAGAAGAAGCACCGGCUAACUAUGUGCCAGCAGCCGCGGUAAUACAUAGGGUGCAAGCGUUGUCCGGAAUUAUUGGGCGUAAAGAGCUCGUAGGUGGUUAGUUACGUCGGAUGUGAAAAUCUAGGGCUCAACCCUAGACCUGCAUCCGAUACGGGCUAGCUUGAGUUUGGUAGGGGAGACUGGAAUUCCUGGUGUAGCGGUGGAAUGCGCAGAUAUCAGGAGGAACACCAAUGGCGAAGGCAGGUCUCUGGGCCAAUACUGACACUGAGGAGCGAAAGUGUGGGGAGCGAACAGG